CCUACGGGAGGCAGCAGUGAGGAAUAUUGGUCAAUGGACGAGAGUCUGAACCAGCCAAGUAGCGUGAAGGAUGACUGCCCUAUGGGUUGUAAACUUCUUUUAUAUGGGAAUAAAAUGUUCCACGUGUGGGAUUUUGUAUGUACCAUAUGAAUAAGGAUCGGCUAACUCCGUGCCAGCAGCCGCGGUAAUACGGAGGAUCCGAGCGUUAUCCGGAUUUAUUGGGGUUAAAGGGAGCGUAGGUGGAUUGUUAAGUCAGUUGUGAAAGUUUGCGGCUCAACCGUAAAAUUGCAGUUGAAACUGGCAGUCUUGAGUACAGUAGAGGUGUGCGGAAUUCGUGGUGUAGCGGUGAAAUGCUUAGAUAUCACGAAGAACUCCGAUUGCGAAGGCAGUUCACUGGACUGCAACUGACACUGAGGCUCGAAAGUGUGGGUAUCAAACAGGAUUAGAUACCCUAGUAGUC
rnacentral:rRNA from 1 species